UCGGGUGACGAGUGGCGGACGGGUGAGUAAUGUCUGGGGAUCUGCCCGAUAGAGGGGGAUAACCACUGGAAACGGUGGCUAAUACCGCAUAACGUCGCAAGACCAAAGAGGGGGACCUUCGGGCCUCUCACUAUCGGAUGAACCCAGAUGGGAUUAGCUAGUAGGCGGGGUAAUGGCCCACCUAGGCGACGAUCCCUAGCUGGUCUGAGAGGAUGACCAGCCACACUGGAACUGAGACACGGUCCAGACUCCUACGGGAGGCAGCAGUGGGGGAAUAUUGCACAAUGGG
rnacentral:rRNA from 1 species